CUCCGCUUGAUCUCCAUCACAGGCAGCACCCGGGGCUUCUCCAGUGAGGACUGAGUGGUGUGAGAAACGAGUCAGACCUUGCUCCCUGCUCUAAUCAGCUGCUCACAGCUCUCCCGUGAGGAAGAAUUAAGGGUCUGCUACAAACACCACCUCUUCCACAGGACGCCCACCCGAAAGAGAUGGCCAGCAACCGCACAGCGCAGCACCCUCAUCGCUGGGCAUGGAUGGGGGAACCACCUGCUUGAUGACCAUCGUGGCUUUAGGCACACAGGUUUCCAACAGGAUGAAGGCUCCAACUGAUCUCCUUGCUUCUGCUCCCCGCUGCAGCCAUUUCUCCAAACCUUCUGCCACGACAGCAAGAUCAGUCUUGAAACAAAAGUAUAGUAAAAGCACGACGCUGCCCUUGGAAUAAAAUCCAAACUCCUUUCCACAGACUGCAAAUCUCAAGACUCCUCUUGGGCGUCCCACCCUCUGCCCAGGGAGCUCCAGCUCCUGGAUGUCUUUUGUGUUUCAGAAAGGUGGCAUCUUUCCCACCCCCGUGUCUUCCACUCAUGUGCUCUGUUUACUGGUGAUCUUUCUUGUUUCUAACGCUUCCAGCUCAUAGACAAGCUGAGCGAACAUCUGUUCAAGGAAUAAAUAAAUGCUGGCUUCUCUGCUUGUU
rnacentral:lncRNA from 1 species